CCUACGGGGGGCUGCAGUUAGGAAUCUUCUGCAAUGGGCGAAAGCCUGACAGAGCGACGCCGCUUGAGGGACGACGGUCUUCGGAUUGUAAACCUCUGAACGAGCGACGAAAGGCCCCGACGAGGGGAGAUGACGGUAGCUCGGUAAUAGCACCGGCUAACUCCGUGCCAGCAGCCGCGGUAAUACGGAGGGUGCGAGCGUUACCCGGAAUCACUGGGCGUAAAGGGCGUGUAGGCGGGCUGUUAAGUCCGGCUUCAAAGACCAGGGCUCAACCC
rnacentral:rRNA from 1 species